UGUGUUUGCACCUCCUCUCGUGUUGGGGUCCCUCCCUCUCUCCUCAGCCACUCUGUUGGGGUCGUUUGCACAGCACAGCUGGGGCGCGUGGGCCACUGUCCGCUUCUCUUCCCGGAACACACACCUUUGCUGGCUGCUGCCCCCUUUGCUCUUUGUCCUCUGGAUCAGGGACCAAAGCUCAGCCCCGGGUCCCAGGGCACUUGAACGUGUGUGGUCCUGGCGAGGGACACGGGGCCUCCUGCCUGGCUCGGGAGGGAGGACCCCACCUUGGCCUCCCCCUCCCCGGGUCUUCGGAGAUGCUGUCAGACCUGGAGCUGCGCGAGCUGGCUCAGCAGGGGAACCUCCAGGGCUGCUUUCCUCAGGUCGGGGCUGGGGCGGCCCUGAAAUCAGAACACACAGGGCAGGAACAGAAACAUUCUUUUGCGGCGUCUGGAGAGAGUGAUGUGGGCCCAAAGCCGUCCCUGAAGAGGCCGCGGAGUGCCUGCCAGCGCCCAGGUGCCAAGCAGGACGUAAGGCCAUCAACCUGCAGGUGGAGCUGGAGGUGCUACAGUGCUUUGAAGCUGGAGAGAUGCUCAGCAGAAUCGGGAAGGCGCUGGGGCUCUCCACCUCCACCGUGGCCACCAUUUGUGACAAGGACAAGAUCUGAGCGAGUUUCCAGCCAGGCGGCCCCCCCGCAGGCGGCCACCAAGCUGACGCACAGCCGCCGCCUGGCGAUGGAGAACACGGAGCGGCUGCUGAGCGUGUGGAUCGAGGACCAGAACCAGCGCAACACGCGGGGCAACAUGGUGCUUGUCCAGGAGAAGACCGCAGCCUGUUCGAGGAGCUCAGGCGGCAGCAGGGCGAGGGCGCCGAGUCGGAGACCUUCAGGCCUGCCAGGGCCGGUUCAAGGUACGCUUCCGGCUGCGCACCCUGGGGUGGGCCGACGAGGCGGUGCGUGCAGCCCCUGGGGCGCGUGCAGGUACUGUGGGCCGCGCAGGGUGAUCCAGGAGGGGGACUUCACGGCCCGCCAGGUGUUCAGCGAGGAGGAGACCCGGCUCUUCUGGAGGCGGCUGCUGGAUGGGACGGUGCCUUCCGCCCGGAGGAGCGCCCUGGGUUCACAGCCCCCCAAGAUCUACUGACUCUGCUGCUGGGCAGCAACGUGGCCGGUAGCUUGAAGCUGAAGCCGCUGCUGGUGUACCCGGUGGAGAACCUGCGCGCCCUCAGGGGCUUCUCCAAGCCCAGCCUGCCCCUGCUUGGCUCGCCCACAAGAAGGCGUGGGUCACGGUGAGCCUCUUCCCGGAGUGGUUCGUGCACUUCUUCCACCCUGCGGUGGAGAGGUACUAUGCCUGGCACGGGCUCCCGCGUAAAGCGCAGCUUGUCCCGGACAGCGCUCCUGGCCGCCCUGGAAACCUGGACGACCUCUCCGACCACGUGGGCGUGGAGUCCCUGCCCAAGGAUACCACAGCCCUCAUCCAGCCCAUGACCCAGGACGUGGUCGCCACCUUUAAGGCCUGCCACCUGCGGAGGGUCUUCCGCCUCUUGGCCGCGAGGGCCGGGGGCACAGGCGAGCCGGGAGCGGCCCUGGACGUCUGGCGGGACUACUGCAUCCUUGACACCGCCCCGUACCUCUCCGUGUCCUGGGAGGGGUCCUGCCCUCGUCGCUGAACAGUGGUUGGAGGAGGCCGUGGCCCGAGCGCCUCCAGCACAGAGUCAGCGGCCCCCAGGUGGAAACCCACAGAUCUGGUGGGACAUCCAGGCGCUGGCGCACCAGGUGGGUUUCAGGGAGGUGGCGGAGGCAGAGGUGGCCGAGCUGCUGCAGAGCCGUGGCUCGGACUGGUCCAAGAGGAGCUGGAGGAGCCGGAGCCGACUGCUGAGGAGGAGGGCAAGGCCAGCCCCGCCACCGCCGCCAGCUCACGGCUGAGCACUUGGCCAGGGCCCUGGCACAUUUCGAUGCCCGCCUGCACAUCAUCAGGGACGACGCCUCCAAGCUGGAGUGCAGCCUCCAGGUCUGUCGGGGUGUGAACAACUUGAUGGGCUGCUGUGGGCGCAUUUCAAGGAGAAGCAAGGCCCCAAGUAGUGGGGUGGGAGGGGUGGGGAAGGAGGGGGCGUCCUCCCUCGCCAGCUCUCACUUGGAAGUGACACUGGUCUUCGUGUUUCCAUCUCAUUAACUCCUCAAAUGUCUUUUGUCAGCAAAUAAUUUAUUAUCUCCAGUGAUCUCAAAUACAUGGUUUUAGAAGCCUC
rnacentral:lncRNA from 1 species